rnacentral:rRNA from 1 species
AGAGUUUGAUCCUGGCUCAGGAUGAACGCUGGCGGCGUGCCUAACACAUGCAAGUCGAACGGGGUUAAGAGAAAUUUUCGGAUGGACCUUAACUUAGUGGCGGACGGGUGAGUAACGCGUGGAUAACCUGCCUCACACAGGGGGAUAGCAGCUGGAAACGGCUGGUAAUACCGCAUAAGACCACGGCCCCGCAUGGAGCUGUAGUAAAAGAUUUAUCGGUGUGAGAUGGAUCCGCGUCUGAUUAGCCAGUUGGCGGGGUAACGGCCCACCAAAGCGACGAUCAGUAGCCGGCCUGAGAGGGUGAACGGCCACAUUGGGACUGAGACACGGCCCAAACUCCUACGGGAGGCAGCAGUGGGGAAUAUUGCACAAUGGGCGCAAGCCUGAUGCAGCAACGCCGCGUGAGUGAAGAAGUAUUUCGGUAUGUAAAGCUCUAUCAGCAGGGAAGAAAGGCUCUUCGGAGAGAUGACGGUACCUGACUAAGAAGCCCCGGCUAACUACGUGCCAGCAGCCGCGGUAAUACGUAGGGGGCAAGCGUUAUCCGGAUUUACUGGGUGUAAAGGGAGCGCAGACGGCAGUGCAAGUCUGAUGUGAAAGCCCGGGGCUCAACCCCGGAACUGCAUUGGAAACUGUACAGCUUGAGUGUCGGAGAGGUAAGCGGAAUUCCUAGUGUAGCGGUGAAAUGCGUAGAUAUUAGGAGGAACACCGGUGGCGAAGGCGGCUUACUGGACGAUUACUGACGUUGAGGCUCGAAAGCGUGGGGAGCAAACAGGAUUAGAUACCCUGGUAGUCCACGCUGUAAACGAUGAAUACUAGGUGUGGGUGUGCACUGCACAUCCGUGCCGCAGCUAACGCAAUAAGUAUUCCACCUGGGGAGUACGUUCGCAAGAAUGAAACUCAAAGGAAUUGACGGG